ACUUGUUUUUGCAUUCAUGUUGAAGAAUAUUUUAUUUUGUAUUGUUUGCCUCUGGUUUGAAUUUAUUUGCACUCAAAAUUUUAUUUGGAAAAGGUUUUUGGAAAAGAAAACAGAAAAGAAAAAAAAAGAAAACCCCAGCCGAACCCCCCCCUCACCCUCGCACUCGGUCCGCUAGCGGCCAGCCAGCCCCUGGCUUCCCUUCCCGCCCCGGCCCAACACCCCCUCCCUUUUCUUUUUCCCCUACGUGAGGCCCAGCAACCCCGCGGCCCAUCUGCCCCGCGGGCGUGCCUCUCCUUCUCCCUUGACCCGCUGACGGAUGGGCCCCGUUCUUCUUUCCCUGACGCGUGGGGCCCGCGGAACGGCGCUGGCCUUCUCCUUCCUCUGCUCGUAACCGAGCCGGGCACAACACCGCCGAAUCCAAUCCCGGGAACAGCGCGAUUUGCUUGCCUUUUGCGCGAAACAAAUCCCUAUAAAGCCC
rnacentral:lncRNA from 1 species